GAAUGAUUCGCAAGUGUUGAAAUCCCAAGUUGUAUCAAAUUUUUCUCAAAUUUUACAAGAUCCUCCAAGGGUGCUAACGAAGGGCCGACCAAAAGCGUUGAGAGCAAAAAAUCCGAAAGAGACUCAAAGCACGAAAAAAAGGCGUUGUAGCAUUUGCAAGAUUGAGGGUCAUGCUAAGAACAACUGUCCUUCAGUAAGGGAUCUUGGAAAUACUGGUGGGAACAUAUCUCAAAACUUGGAUCUGUCGGGUCAAACAUGAGUUAAUACAAGGAAGAAUUGUAUUGGUUGGCUUAGAGAUGAAGUUGGAGGAUUGCAAUGAUGGCUCGAUUCCGUAGGGUCAAUGGAGAUGUUCAUUUUGGAAAUGUGUUGUAAUCGAAUGUGAUGGUGGAAAUGUUAUGUAUUUAUUGGAUAUUCAGAUUUUAGCAAUUUAGUGUAAUGUUGAUGAUGUGCAUUUCCAGAUUUUAAGAUUUUAGCAAGUUAGUGUAAUGAUGAUGAUGUAUGUUUUCAGAUUUUCAGAUUUUAGCAA